GACGGAGGAUGCAAGCGUUAUCCGGAAUGAUUGGGCGUAAAGCGUCCGCAGGUGGCAAUUCAAGUCUGCUGUUAAAGCGCAGGGCUUAACUCUGUAAAGGCAGUGGAAACUGAAUAGCUAGAGUGUGGUAGGGGCAGAGGGAAUUCCCAGUGUAGCGGUGAAAUGCGUAGAGAUUGGGAAGAACAUCGGUGGCGAAGGCGCUCUGCUGGACCAUAACUGACACUCACAGGACGAAAGCUAGGGGAGCGAACAGG
rnacentral:rRNA from 1 species